CAGCACCUCAAGUGGUCAGGAUGUUUAUUGGGCCUAAAGCAUCCGUAGCCGGCGCUGUAAGUUUUCGGUUAAAUCUGUACGCUCAACGUACAGGCUGCCGGGAAUACUGCAGCGCUAGGGAGUGGGAGAGGUAGACGGUACUCGGUAGGAAGGGGUAAAAUCCUUUGAUCUAUUGAUGACCACCUGUGGCGAAGGCGGUCUACCAGAACACGUCCGACGGUGAGGGAUGAAAGCUGGGGGAGCAAACCGGAUUAGAUACCCGAGUAGUCC
rnacentral:rRNA from 1 species